ensembl:lincRNA
UGUCCCUCUACAGAACCCUGACUAAUACAGCAAUUUCUCCUCCAUGAUUCUUUAUAGAGUGAGGGGAGUCUUCCUGUUAAUCCCAUAGCAGCUCCAAUUGCUAGAACCCAGUGAAAUGUCGGGAUACUUCUAUAGAAACACUUGUAAAGCUACUGUGUUUUGUCAGGAAAGAAUAUUUUACCAGCAAGUAAGAAGGGCUUAGGAGUUCCAUGAAGGCUUUCCUGUCACUAUGGAAAUAUCAAGGCCCUUUUGGCAGCUGGAAUGCAGACAGAUCCAGCACAACCAAGUCACUUUUCCCACAUGGAGAUUCUGCAGUCUUCAGCAGAGACGCAAAUUUGCAGAUUUGGGGCCGCAGUGGAGAAUGGGAUACCAGAGGACCAGGUGACCUAAGCUGUCUCACUUGAAUAAGAUGCGGCUUGUUUUACUAGAGAAAGAUGAUCAACAAUGUACUGCUAACAAAUAAACAGGACAUGUAAUAAGCAAUAUCAAAAUGAGAGAAAGGAAAGAGACAGAGAAAAUGAGAGAUAUUUAUUAUGAGAAAUUGGCUUAUGCAAUUAUGGAGAGUGAGAAGUCCCACAGUCUGCCAUCUACAAGCUGAAAACUCAGAAAAGCAAGUGGUGCAAUUCAGUCUGAGACCAAAGGUGUGAGAAUCAGGGGAGCUGAUGUUAAUCCAAGUCCAAGGGCGAGAGAAGAGGAGAUAUAUUUCAGCUCAAGCAUGCAGGCAAGUAUGCAUUUUUCCUCUGACUAUUUUACUCAAGCCCUCAAAAAUUAGAUGAUGUCCUCUCAUAAUUGGGAAGUAAAUAGACUUUAUUGAGUCCACCAGUUCAAAUACUAAUCUCAUCCAGAAACACUCUCACAGACACACCCAGAAAUGUCUAUUUGAGCACCCCAUGGCUAGGCAAGUGGACAUAUAAAAUUAACCAACAUAGUGAAUAAAUGUUAGUCCUCCAGAAAGGUGGAAAUUGACUUUUUAUCUGAAAUGUAUUAAUACUCACUUUCUAUACAGGGAAAAAAUUCUAUUAAGCCUUCUUUUCCCAGUACAAAAGAUAAUUAAAAUGGGGUUAUAUACUACAUUGGCACUUACAGAGCAGGCAUCUGAUCUAAUUUGGCAAUAGUUGCUCCAACUCAAUAUUAUGAAUCUUGAACAAGUUUUGCAAUCGUGUAAGAACAAACUUAUGUUAACUUACAAUUGUGAGGUGCACCCUACCAGUAGUAUACGUCAACAGAAUAUUCAGUGGUAGCAACAAUAGAAAAUCAUCAUUCUAACAGGAUAUUCCUGGUGGCCUAAACUUGGCUGCCACUCCUGCUCCCAUUCCACCUUCCCAUGAAUUCUUUGAACUACUAAAUAUUCCUUCAGUAAAUCAAUUUUCUUCUUAAAAUAGCCAGAAUCUACCAGGCGCCGUGGGUUACACCUGUAAUCCCAGCACUAGGUCGAGGAGGGCGGGUCGCUUGAGAUCAGGAGUUCGUGACCAGCCUGGCCAACAUGGUGAAACCCUGUCUCUACUAAAAAAUACAAAAUUUAGCAGGGCAUGGUGGCAGGCACCAGUAAUUCCAGCUACUCAGGAGGCUGAGGCAGGAGAAUCACUUGAACCUAGGAGGCAGAGGUUGCAAUGAGCUGAGAUCGCACCAUUGCACUCCAGCCUGGGCCACAAGAGAGAAAACUCCAUCAAAAAACAAACAAACAAACAAACAAACAAACAAACAAAAAAAACAGAAUCAGUUACUUUUUGUUUAGUCAAGAACUCUGACAGAUAUAUCUGCAUUUGAAAAAUUGUAAAAAUGUAUACACAAAACUUUUCUAAGCAAAAUGUUCACAUAGUGUUUAAAUAGUAGCUUACAUGCAACAAGACCUAACAGUUUUGGCUGAUCUAAGAAUUAAUACAAAGUAGAAAUGUAAUGUAUCUUACAGAAAGUAGAGUAGAAGUACAAUAUGUGCUAAUAAAAGGCAAUGCUCAGAAAAAAAUGUAAAAGCUAUUCAGAUUAGCAUAAAUUACUUCAAAUAAGGGCAUUGUAUUUUUAGAUGUACUGUGUGUAGUUGUAAGACAAAAAACCAGGAUCAGAGAUUAGAAGUUACAGUUCUGAAGAUUUCAGCUAAAUACCAUACCGAAUAUUUAAUAAGCUUUUCAAAAAUUGAAUUAUCUCACUUGGGAGACUAUAGUGAAAUCAGACUUUGUCCUAGAUCUUAUUCCCAUAUGUAACACUUAUUGCCUAUAUGAUUUUCAGCAAAUAACUUCUUUAAGAUACAGCCCUUUCAUUUAUGUAAUAAAAAUCUAUAAGACCAGAACCAGUCUUACCAUUGUAUUGAUUUCCUCAUUUAUG